ACGUAGGGUGCGAGCGUUAAUCGGAAUUACUGGGCGUAAAGCGUGCGCAGGCGGUUCGUUGUGUCGGUGGUGAAAGCCCCGGGCUUAACCUGGGAAUGGCCGUCGAAACUGGCGAACUGGAGUGUGGCAGAGGGGGGUGGAAUUCCACGUGUAGCGGUGAAAUGCGUAGAGAUGUGGAGGAACACCGAUGGCGAAGGCAGCCUUCUGGGCCAACACUGACGCUCAUGCACGAAAGCGUGGGGAGCAAACAGGA
rnacentral:rRNA from 1 species